rnacentral:rRNA from 1 species
CAACGCGAAGAACCUUACCAGGGUUUGACAUAGUACGAAGUUUUUUGAAAAAAAAACCACCUUCGGGAACGUACAUACAGGUGGUGCAUGGCUGUCGUCAGUUCGUGUCGUGAGAUGUCAGGUUAAGUCCUAGUAACGAACGCAACCCUUAUCCUUAGUUAAUUAUAUGUCUAGGGAAACGGCCAACGAUCAAGUUGGAGGAAGGAGAGGAUGACGUCAAGUCAGCAUGCCCCGUAUGUCUAGGGCUACAAGCGUGCUACAAUGACUAUUCAACAAAAAGUCGCAACUUUGUGAAAGGAAGCGAAUCUACAAAUGAGGUCACAGUUCGGAUUGUAGGCUGCAACUCGGCUACAUGAAGUCGGAAUCGCUAGUAAUCGCUGGUCAGCUAUACAGCGGUGAACUUGUUUCAGGGGUUUGUACACACCGCCCGUCACACCCCUGAAGUUGACUAUACCAGGCGUCGUUGUCUUAACCACACAUAUUUUUAAGACGGAAGACAACGAUAAAGGUUGUGUCGGUAACCGAGGUGAAGUCGUAACAAGGUAGCCGUACUGGAAGGUGUGGCUGGAAAUCUUU